UACAUGUGGGGCAAGCGUUGUUCGGAAUUACUGGGCAUAAAGGGUGCGUAGGCGGUUUGUUAAGUCACUGGUGAAAGUUUUCGGCCCAACCGGAAAAUUGCCUGUGAUACUGGCGAACUUGAGUGCGUGAGGGGUGGGGGGAACGAGCAGUGUAGCGGUGAAAUGCGUAGAUAUUAGGAAGAACACCAGUGGCGAAGGCGGCUCACUGGCCCGGUACUGACGCUGAGGCGCGAAAGCGUGGGGAGCAAACAGG
rnacentral:rRNA from 1 species